AGACAGACAGAUAGACAGACACAAGGUGUUAAGCACAGAAACAGACAGACAGACAGACAGACAGACAGACAGACAGACAGACAGACAGACAGACACAAGGUGUUAAGCACAGAAACAGACAGACAGACAGACAGACAGACAGACAGACAGACAGACAGACAGACAGACAGACAGACACAAGGUGUUAAGCACAGAAACAGACAGACAGACAGACAGACAGACAGACAGACAGACAGACAGACAGACAGACA